rnacentral:rRNA from 1 species
UGGGGAAUAUUGCACAAUGGAGGGAACUCUGAUGCAGCGACGCCGCGUGAACGAAGAAGGCUUUCGAGUCGUAAAGUUCUUUUAUAUGGGAAGAUAAUGACGGUACCAUAAGAAAAAGCCCCGGCUAACUACGUGCCAGCAGCCGCGGUAAUACGUAGGGGGCUAGCGUUGUCCGGAAUCACUGGGCGUAAAGGGUUCGCAGGCGGAAAUGCAAGUCAGGUGUAAAAGGCAGUAGCUUAACUACUGUAAGCAUUUGAAACUGCAUAUCUUGAGAAGAGUAGAGGUAAGUGGAAUUUUUAGUGUAGCGGUGAAGUGCGUAGAUAUUAAAAAGAAUACCGGUGGCGAAGGCGACUUACUGGGCUCAUUCUGACGCUGAGGAACGAAAGAGUGGGUAGCAAACAGG